rnacentral:rRNA from 1 species
UGAGCAACCUGCCCUUGACUCUGGAAUAACAGUUGGAAACAGCUGCUAAUGCCGGAUACGACCUCCGACGGCAUCAUCUGGAGGUGGAAAGCUCCGACGGUCAAGGAUGGGCUCGCGGCCUAUCAGCUUGUUGGUGAGGUAACGGCUCACCAAGGCGACGACGGGUAGCCGGCCUGAGGAGGGUCGACCCGGCCACACGUGGGACUGAGACACGGCCCAGACCUCCGUAGGGACGCG